UUUUUUCACCUCUCCCUGGUUGCCAAAACGACGCCGUUCAUUGUUCUCAGGGUUCUCUUGUCUUCUUCCCUACGAUCACCGGCCUUCAAUUUCUCGACUUCCUCCAUUCUUCCGGAAAAUGAAGCUCUUUUCGAUCUCCACUAGCCAGUGUUGGGGGUCUUGAAAGGGGUUGCAGCCCAUUAGUAAGGUAUAACUGAAUCUAAAUUAAAAUUAACCUGAUUCUCAAUUUUGUUGGAGAAUUUUGAAUUUAGCUUAUUUCUAUUGCACUUCUCCCUGCAGGUUUGCUCCAAAAGAACGAUUCUAUAAAAUGACGGGGAUUUCACUUCCUAAGAAUAUGUCCAUAAAUGCUUCAGGUACAAACCCUAAUAAAAUAAACAACUAUAAAGGUAUAAAUGCGAAGUACUAAUUCUAUGCAAUCAUGUGAUUGAGUUCUUGGAAGAUUCAGAUGUUAAUUUGAUGGAAGUAGGAAAAUAAAUUUGUGCAUGGAAAUAAUUUAGACACAAGUUUUAACAUUCAUUUUCACAUCUACCUUGGGUGGAGGAACAAGUGCUUUCAACCCUAAAACAUGGCUGGAUUGAAGGGAAGAUUAAAAAGAUAUGUAGUUGAAUCUUCCCGUGAAAUUAGUGCUUUGCAUAAUGAUAAUGCAUAAUGCUUGUCUCAAUCAUGAGUUAGUUUCUUUUGGGAAAUUAGGGUAGUGGAUCCGCAAUAAUGCCUUCCUCAACUGAGUUUCCUUGUUUGUGUUAUGUUAAUGAGCUGAAUUUUAGCUACAUAGAACCCUAACUAGCACCAAAUCAUUAUGUCAAAUCUUCUUCCUCUUAUUCUAAUAACAAAGUUAGGAAUUAGUAUGAAGUCAGUAGUUCAAAGCAGGAAAACAAUAUGCCAAGCCUUUUUCUUCUUAUUCUAGUAGCAAAACAGCAAUAUAGAUGAAACCGGGACUCCCAAGACACUAACUUGGUUAGGCGCAGGGUAGUACAAGCUCCUUUGAGAAGAGGGUAUGGACAUAGCUUUUAGCAACGGUAAGUAGAAAAAAUUCUUACUAGAUUACACUUUUUUCGCCAAAAAGGAACAAAAGAACUCUCAUCUGAAAUCUACACAGAUUUUGAAGGUGUGAGAUGCUAACAUAACUAUGUUUCUUUUACCGUAACUUUAUUUGAUUAGUUCUUUAACCAUAACUGUAUUCUUUUUGUCAUUGUGAUGUUGAGUUUCUUUUGGAACUCAUGGUUGAGCCUUCCACAGUGAGGAGAUGUCGGCCACGGCUUCUCCAACUGCCAGGUAGAGUCCAUUCAACCCAAAGGAAUCCAAUAUUUUUGACUGAUGUAGCUUUUCCAUCACAUUUCCAGCGGGAUUUGCCAACACAAACUACACGAGGAAGUGGAAAUAAGGGCUGGUGUUAGAAAGUGGGCAUUUACUAGAAAAAACUAUGCAUAAUUGAUUAGAUGUUUCUUCUUACCUGAAGUGAUCUUUUCUCCAGCAUCUUUCGGAGUUCACAUAUCACGUCAAUACCACUUGUGUCUAUUGCUGUCACAGCUGCAAGAAUGGAAAAUCAUAAGCCAAAGGUACAGGGAUAGCUGAAUUUGUUAUUUCAUUUAGAAACUUGAUUUAAAAGUUAAAAGUGCAUUGAUUGGAUGGCUUAAACCACCCAAAACCACUUAGGAAGUUGGUUUUUGAAACUGAAAUAAACCCAAACCCAACAAUAAUUGAGAAAUGGAUACACAUCUCUACAUCAGUACAGGAGACUCCACAUUGUGGAACAGCUAAGAAAAAGACCACCACUAUGUAAUCUUCUUGUGGGUGAAGUUCCCCUCUUAUCUGAGGUGGAUUAUUCUCUACAAACCCUAACCAACCUAUUGCCAUUCCUACCAUACAGAAUUGGAGAAAUCUCAUUUUCCCACAGAACAAACAAAUAUAUAAGCCAUCCCAAACUCAACUAGUUCUGAAUUUGCUUUAUGGAAAUAACUUGACACUUUUCAGGCAAUUGAGUGCAGCAUGAUCAUGUGCUUAUAAGCAGAGAACUGUUGAAAAUUUAGCAAAAGGUUCGUAUAUACCUGUCAUGUCUAAAAUUACACAUUUCAGCGCAUUCCCAUUGUUUGCUUGUAUCUGCUCUUCUUCCUCACGGACCCAUCUUAGUAUCCUGGAAUAGGAGAAUUCUUCAGUCAGAUAAACUUGACACAAGAAGGUGAUGGUGGUAUCUCUACUAUACUCUGAUAUUAUUUUCCUGAAUUUAUGGUGACAUACACAGCUGCUGUCUAGGGACACGAUCAUCUACAAGUCCUACUUGGAGGUAAAUCAGGCACACUAGAUUGGUGAUAACAGCCUCAAAUGAUGGUAGGGCCAUUAGGGUAUGCUAUUAGUAUAUAUUCAGGAGAUACCAUAUUGAACUAACCUUUCUUGUAUGUAAGUGGAAUUUGCAAAGUAGAUGGGAGACUCCACAGCAAGUAUAAGAAAUGAAGGAACCUUCAUUGCUUCUCUGUAUCGGCUGGGAUUUUGAUAUAUUUGAGUUCCUGGGAUAUUCCCUAAUACCAUAGUGUUUGGCCUCGUGACAUGCAAGAGAACCUUGAAUACUGAUACUCCAACCUAAAUUAUACAGCUAAGUCAUCAGAUAGAGACCAAAUAAUAGAAUCAUGUAUUUGUAAAAGCCAUAGAAAUAUCAGCAUUAGUAGCAUAUUUCUGAAUUACACUUGAAUUCAUAUAAAUGAUAGGCAAGAACAUGAAUAUUCAGAAGACCAAAGCAAAAAUGCAGAACUUAUUUAUUUUUGUUCUCAGAGAAGCAAGCAAUUAGAAGGUUAAGUCUGAGAUGGGAUUUAAUGUGAAACUUACCGCAAUAGCAAGACCCAGGGGAACUGAAAUGAAGAGCACACCAAAGAAGGAACACAAACAAGCAAAGCAAUCAAGCUUGUCGACUUUCCACAAUUUAUAUGCAGCCUCAUAAUCAAUAAGCCCAAUCACAGCGGUUAUGAUAAUGGCAGCCAAUAUGAAAUUGGGAGUGUAGUGAAACAGUGGCAUGAGAAACAACAGAGUCACAAGCACCGUUGAUGCCAUUAUUAUGUUUGAGACUGCUGUUUGUGCUCCAGCAUUGUAGUUCACAGCAGAUCGGGAAAAUGAUCCUGAAAAAGUGGGUCAAGCAAGUUAGCUUGAGGGAUUUUAGUGAAGAAUGUUUACUGAGUAAGAAAAGUUUAGAUGAGAAGAGGAUCUUCACCUGUGGUUACAUAGCAUGAAGAACAAGAACCAGCCAUGUUCAUGAAACCAAUGGCCAUCAUUUCUUUGUUGCCAUCAACUUGGUAAUUUCUCAGAGCAGCAAAUGUCCUUCCCACUGCUAUUCCUUCCUGAAACACAAGUAAAAUUACCAAAAUGUUUAGAUAGAGUAGAAGCACGUGUAUAUGUAUGCAUAUAUUUGUGUAUGUAAAUAUAUUCUCGGCCUUAGCUGAGCCCUGGCAUCAAAUUUGUGGGAUAGUAAAUUUCUUUUAUCCAAUAAAAAUCACUAGAAAAAAGCCCAUUCUGAUGAUGAUUUUGGUAGAGCAAGAUGCUAGGUUUUGAUCACUUACAGUGAGAGAUAGGAUUCCAGUUAUAAUGCCAGUUUUGAUAGCAACUGCAAGAUAAGAGCCAUGGAAGUAUAGCAUAUUUGAUGAAGGUGGAUUCAGACCCUUUGGUAAGUGACCAAUCUGCAUGUCAAAAAAUUCAAUUUUUAUAAGCUAUUAGAAGGGGAAAAGAAGAAUUUUCAAACAUCUUCUGUUGAUUUACAUCAGGAAACUUGUAGGCUAAAUUAGUAGUUCUUACAAUUGAGAUCCCAUGAAGUUUCGACUUGAGGAGAAAGACUAGAAGGGUUGAGAGAAUAACUGAUGUCAGUGGGGCAGCUGCUGAAACCCAGAAAAGUUUUGGCCUUCUCAUGCUCUGUAUAGGGUCAAAGUUUGAACAUUUUAGUACAACAUAUACAGUGAAAAUUAACAUAGCAGUGAAAUAUGCUUUUUGAGUAAUAUGAGACACUUACAAUUUGCCUUGUAAUCAAUAGAAAGGCUAGGAAGCCGAAUCCCAUUACGAUGGUUUGCCAGGACCACUGCACAUCAAUAUCACUACAAUCAGAACCAGCCCCCUCACACACCCACAGGCACAUUUAAGUACUAUAGUAAGUUGUGUCUUUGAAGCAACUCCAAGGAGGAAAAGAAAAGACCUGUCACUGUCACUGUCACUGUCACUUAAAUGGCUUCCAAUUCACCUAUUCUACAAGCCCUUUUUGGAGAAAAGAAAUCAACCACGGAAAGUUUUGCAUCAGUGGAAUAAAUCUCUUUAAAUCUCAAAUUGUUCUUCCAUAGUGCUAUCACACAGUUCCCCUAGGUGUCAUCCUUCCAAAAAGUUGCUUCUGGACACAACCCUUUACCGAAGCCUCUUUAGUCUUACCUCAUGUCUCUGCUGGAAAACAGAAGUUAAAACAGGGACAAUUUGCAUCUUGGUAGUGAAAUGGGCGAUCCCGAGCAACCCUUUCAGUUGUUGCAGAGAUACUAUGACUGCUGCACCAGCCAUGAACCCAACUAGAGUUGCCUUUGAGAGGAAAUCAAUUAUAAACCCCAACCUGUGAACCAUAUAAGCAAAAUCAAACAGAGAAAAAUUGGUGGAGAACUCAAGAAAAUAAUCCUUCUGCAAAUUUUCCUUUCCUUCUAGUGGAUUUAGCAGUGAACUAUAGUAAAAUAUUUCUAUCAUUGUUUUCCUGGGAAGCAAACAACACAUAAGCGAACUUAAUACAUGUGGUUCAGUACCUCAGUAGACCCAAAGCAGCCUGAAACAAACCAGCGAAGAAGGUUGCAGUGAAAGCCAAUUUGAGAUACAGAAUUGGAUCUGCACUGCAAGAAACCGCGUUAUUUAGCAUCGUGCCCAUGACCAGUGAUGCUAUCGAGACUGGACCGACAGCAAGAUGCCUAGAGCUCCCAAGAAUAGAAUAUAUCAAUGGGGGCACAAAGCUUGAAUCUGCAAACAGACCCAAAUCAAUUAAAACGCAAAACCAAAGGAAAGCUAAAGAAAUGUAUGUAAUCAAUCAAUAAGCAAAACCAUUAACAAAGACAGAAUCAGGAAGAUAGCUAUACUAACAUAGUCCAAUAAUGGGCGGCAAAUUUGCAAGCUUUGCAUAACUAAUUCCCUGCAGCAGAUCACAAGAAACUUAUAAAACAAUCUGCAGUCGGUAUCCUUAAGACAAGAAAAAUCUGAAGAACAUAAUUGAAAAGGAUAACCAUCAAUAGUAGAAGUGAUUUUCAGCCUAAAAAUAAAGAAAAACAUAACCAAACACACUGUUCAUUCUUUACUCAAAUCCACACACACACACACAUAUAUAUAUAUAUGGUUGAUGGGUUGUGGGUUGUGACUCACUUGUGGGAUUGCAAGGCUUGCAAUGGUGAGACCAGAGAUGAUAUCAGACCUCAAAAGAGCUAAACUGUAAGUGGGUGCCCAGUGGAAGAUGGGAAAGAAGAACUGGAGGGCCAGAACCAGUUUUGUAAAGGAAGACUG
rnacentral:lncRNA from 1 species